GGUAGCUGAACAUGGUGAGUGCUGUUUGGGUAUAGAAGGGUUAAUGUAGGAGGAGUCUACAGGUAGCUGAACAUGGUGAGUGCUGUUUGGGUAUAGAAGGGUUAAUGUAGGAGGAGUUACAGGUAGCUGAACAUGGUGUGUGCCGUUUGGAUAUAGAAGGGUUAAUGUAGGAGGAGGCAACAGGUAGCUGAACAUGGUGAGUGCCGUUUGGGUAUAGAAGGGUUAAUGUAGGAGGAGUCUACAGGUAGCUAAACAUAGUGAGUGCUGUUUGGGUAUAGAAGGGUUAAUGUAGGAGGAGUUACAGGUAGCUGAACAUGGUGAGUGCUGUUUGGGUAUAGAAGGGUUAAUGUAGGAGGAGUUACAGGUAGCUGAACAUGGUGAGUGCUGUUUGGGUAUAGAAGGGUUAAUGUAGGAGGAGUUACAGGUAGCUGAACAUGGUGUGUGCCGUUUGGAUAUAGAAGGGUUAAUGUAGGAGGAGGCAACAGGUAGCUGAACAUGGUGAGUGCCGUUUGGGUAUAGAAGGGUUAAUGU